rnacentral:lncRNA from 1 species
UGCCCAUUUCCAAUGGACCGUCCUACCCUUUGGCCUCAAAACUGCCCCCUCCAUUUUCCAAAAAUCCAUGGUCCAAAUCUUCCAGCCCAUUUUGCAUCAUGCAUUGAUUUACAUUGACGAUAUUUUGCUUUUUUCAGGAUCGCAUGAAGAACAUCGCAACCUAUUGUCCCAAUUCUAUGAUAUUAUCCAAAGUCAUGGAAUCAUGUUAUCGGCCAAGAAAAGCACCAUUGCUACAGAUAAUAUUGAAUUCCUUGGUAUGAUCAUUAAAGAUGGACACUACCAGCCAGGAAAGCACAUUGCCCAAGAAUUGCUUCACUUUCCAGAUCAGCAACUUUCCAAAAGGCAAAUCCAACAGUUUCUCGGCAUUAUCAAUUACAUCCGUGAUUUCCUCCCACAUGUGGACCAUCACACUCAUCAUCUCUCGGCUUUAUUGAAAAAGCAGCCCCCAGAGUGGAAUGCUGACCACACACGUGCUGUCACUACUCUCAAGCAGAUUGCGCAAAAUCCGCCUCCUUUAAAGUUGAUUACUGAUGGCAAGCGCAUAUUACAGACAGACGCAAGUGAUGAAUCAUGGGGUGCCAUCCUCCUCGAAGAACUCAAUAACAAGGAACACUUUAUCGCUUACGCUAGUGGACAUUUUUCUGAAACACAGAAGCACUACCAUAGCGUGUUUAAAGAAAUCUUAGCGGUAAAGAAUGGCAUCAAAAAGUUUGAGUAUCAUCUGAUUGGACACCAUUUUCUCAUCCGAAUGGACAGCUCAGCCUUCCCCAAUAUCUUUCAUUUCAAAGGUAAAACUGUUCCCGAAAAAAUGUUACUCAGAUUAAAAGAUUGGUUUUCCAAAUAUGACUUUUCAGUCAAGCAUAUAAAGGGAUCCCAGAACCUCAUCCCUGAUAUGCUCUCCAGACUCUCUAAACCACAAGACCCUCUCACCCUGUUUUCCACCACCUACCAUUUUCCGAUUAUCUCCAUGGCUACCUCACUACCCCCAGAAGCUCUCACCAAGAAAACUUUUCCCUUCAACAAAACCUUCUCUUCUGUUUUUGAUAUCCAAGAAUUUGCAAGAAAAGCUCUCUUUCGCUUUUUCAUGAAAGCCUACCUUGUCACCGACCCUUUNNNNNNNNNNNNNNNNNNNNNNNNNNNNNNNNNNNNNNNNNNNNNNNNNNNNNNNNNNNNNNNNNNNNNNNNNNNNNNNNNNNNNNNNNNNNNNNNNNNNNNNNNNNNNNNNNNNNNNNNNNNNNNNNNNNNNNNNNNNNNNNNNNNNNNNNNNNNNNNNNNNNNNNNNNNNNNNNNNNNNNNNNNNNNNNNNNNNNNNNNNNNNNNNNNNNNNNNNNNNNNNNNNNNNNNNNNNNNNNNNNNNNNNNNNNNNNNNNNNNNNNNNNNNNNNNNNNNNNNNNNNNNNNNNNNNNNNNNNNNNNNNNNNNNNNNNNNNNNNNNNNNNNNNNNNNNNNNNNNNNNNNNNNNNNNNNNNNNNNNNNNNNNNNNNNNNNNNNNNNNNNNNNNNNNNNNNNNNNNNNNNNNNNNNNNNNNNNNNNNNNNNNNNNNNNNNNNNNNNNNNNNNNNNNNNNNNNNNNNNNNNNNNNNNNNNNNNNNNNNNNNNNNNNNNNNNNNNNNNNNNNNNNNNNNNNNNNNNNNNNNNNNNNNNNNNNNNNNNNNNNNNNNNNNNNNNNNNNNNNNNNNNNNNNNNNNNNNNNNNNNNNNNNNNNNNNNNNNNNNNNNNNNNNNNNNNNNNNNNNNNNNNNNNNNNNNNNNNNNNNNNNNNNNNNNNNNNNNNNNNNNNNNNUUAUUAGGAAGAGUGGAACCCAAUAACCUUGGUCCAAAUGACACAAUUUGGGAAGAUUUGAAUACCAAUGGAUUUUUUGGUAAUCAAAGAGGUGGUGAAGAGUUUGCCAUUGACAGCUUUGAAAUGUUCUUCAGACUGGGUCCAAUAUUCUGGUGGAAGAAUAUGGGGGUUCAACAUGCUUCGUUGGGCACCAGUAUCUAUAAGACCAAUUGCUGGAAUGGGCCUUUGGAAUUUUGAGGGCAAGAUCUGGAGUUUGAUGGAUGGGAUAGGAACUGUAGUAUCAAGGGAGAGUAACUGUUGGUGGAAAAUCACUUGAGACUGGUCACUAUCUGAGUCAGAGGAAUUUUGUAGUGCGAACACUGUUUCAUCGUUGGGUUCAUCUUGUUCAGAGAAAUAGAAUUCCAAUUCAUCUUUGGCAGGAGAGUAGUCUGUGGUUGCUUGAAGAUGUUCAACCAACCGGAUGGCCUUUUCUCUUUUGUUGGGACAAUCUUUGGCAUAGUGGCCUUUUCUCUUGCAGAUGAAACAUCUGCUUGAUUGCUUUCGUUUGAAUUCUCUAGAGGAGGAAGAUUUCUUUCGGAAGAACCGGUAGGGCUUUCGGGAUCUGCGAGGUUUGGAUGAAAAUUCUGGAGUUUUGAAUUUCCGAAAAUGCCGUUUUUUCUUUGAACUGCAAUCGCAAUCCUUUUUCUUGUGGCAUUUGAUCUGUAAAUAAGGCUUUUUGCAAGCACUGCGGAAAGGUUCUUUGUCUUUCAACAGUUCUUUGAAAAACUGUUUUUGCUCGCAAAGUUUGUCAAGGCAGGUUUUGGCAAGCUGGAAGAUUUUGCCAAGGGAGAUGUUGUCUAGGGAAAGAUUGGAUGCUGUAAGUUGUCUCUGGAUGUCAGGUUGGAGUUCUUCGGGGAGGGAAGCCAGAAAGACAUGCUUUAAUGUCGGCUCAUUGAAUCCAUUAAGCUUAUAGAACAACAGGGACAUUCGCUUAUAAUGGAAGUCAAGAUCCUUAGCAUUGAGGGAGCAGCAUUUCAUGUUGAGGUAGUCUCGUCUGGCAGCUUCAAAGACUGCAGAAGGGUCGCCAAGGAAUUGAUCAUGAAGUACAGCAAGAGCACUUGAAACUUCUGGAAGGUCAACAAACUGUAACUGGCGAUAUUGUCCUAACGAAUCAAACCAAUCUCUUAGAGCACCCGUAAAACGAGUAGCAAAUUCUCUAAGGACUGAUUGAGUUGUUGCUCCUGUUCUUAGCAUCUGCAGGUCAAUCCAGGCAGACAUUUCAUUGAGUCGGUCACGCCAUUUAUGAGAUGGAAGAUCAUCAAAUGUGAACCAUGGACCAUUUGACGAUUUUUGACUGGGUGGAUUGGGCUGGGCUGGAGAAGGUUGGUUUGUGGCAGAAGAUUCAGGCAUUUCGUCUUCAACUUCGGAGGGAAUAUCAACAUAUGGUUCUGUAUGAGAGGUUUGGCCUUGAUCAGGUUGAGCCAUCAGGAUUUUGGUAAUAUCAGCAUAGGACUUUUCAGAGUCACUGGUGGAUGCUGAAGAUUCUGAGUCGGUUUCGGUAUGGCUAUCUGAAACAGCUAGAUUUGAAGCAGAAGUUUGAUCGUCAGUAGAUGAAUGGAUGACUGCGUGAGCAGUAAAUUGGUUCAUGGGUUCUUUAUCUUUUGAUUGGGCAGGGACUGAUAAAGGAGCUGGUGGUGAGGUCGGUGUAAAAGUAGGAGAUGGUUGGCCAGGGAUGGUCAGAGAGGAAGGAUGAAGAGGGGGAGGUCGAGGCUGCGGUCUAGGUUUGGGUUUAGGUUUAGGUGGCGGUGGCAAAGGAUUGUCUCUGAAAAGAGUAUUGAGUCAUGCCAAAUAACUUGGGAAAGGUCAUAUUGGUUUAAUAGGAGAGAGCAUAAAGGCAAAAGGGAUGGGUAAAGUUGGGACCGAUUAGAAGGAAUAGGAGGGUGAACUGGGUGAAAAGGGUAGGGCCUCUGUUUUUGAUUCAAUUUGAGCAAGUUCAGCUUUUAAUCGCCUGAUUUCCCUUUCUUUUUGGUCAAAUUCGGGACCAUUGUAUCUGUGGGCUAGCAUGGCUCGUAACUCUGAAUCGAGUUGGCCAAUUCUGGACUGGAGAUUUUGGUGGAUCUGCUGCAUCUGUGCAGAGAUGGAGUCAACCUUUGUCUCAAGCUGUUCAGUUCGUAAACUGAUUUUCUCAACUUUGGAAUUGAUAUUGACCAAAGUAUCAUUCUGUGCUCUAGCGUUUUGGGUUUGCCAGUUGAGGACUGAUUCAAAAGGUUUGGGAGGUUCUAGGUGGCCAGAUGAGGUAAUUGGUGAAGGGACAAAGGGUUUGGACACAACAUUUCGUUGAGAAUCUGUGUGGGUGUCUAAAGAAGGAAAAGAGGAAGAAUAGUCAGAUGAAGUAGAUGAGAACAUCAUACAAGCCAGUGGUGGUGUGGGAUUUGAGAUUGGUGAUGGAAUCUCAGAUUUGCAAUGCUUUGCAAUCCAUGUGAGUUCUUUUCGGUAGAUGGGUAAUGGAGCCGGUGGAGGUGGAGGAUCUGAUGGUGGUUUAGGGUCAUAGUGGUGACAUGGGACAGGAGGGUUUUUCUUUUUGGGUUUCUUUUUCCUUGUGGGUGCAUAAUCAUCGUCUUCUUCCCAAUCAUCCCAGCAGGGACAAUUUGGGUCACACAUGCCGGAACCAGGGGCAUCCCAUAGGAAAUGGCCAUUGUGUUUGGCUGGAUAAACAGGGUAGCCUUGAGAAUUAAACCCUGUAAUGGGCAGAUCUUCCUGCGCUGUCUGAACAGCUGUGAUCAUUGAAGAAUAGGUAAAGGAGAGCCUAGGAGGCUCUUGUGGAGCACUGGGAGGUGGUUUAAAAGUCAUUCUGACUGUUCCAUCAUGUCGUCUUUCAAACAUGCCUUCAGAGGUCUGAAUUGGAGCUGUAUUGUUGUGGAACUGUUCAUAGUUGGAGAUCCAUUCAAGAGGCAUAAGCUUGAUGAGCUCAUGACGGGGAAUUUGUCGGGGAAUCUGGAUGAUUGUCGGGAUCUGGUCAGAUUCUGCUAACACCAUGAGGGUGUCAGAGUGGUGUUCUGGAGCGGGUAGAUCUAAGGCAUGAUUUUGAAGCCUGUAGACCAGUUGGUGAUGUAAAGUGGCAAUUUUUGCAGAAGAAAUUUGUUCAGCACCUUGAAUCUGAACUUGGACUUUCAAGGUUGUGGGCAAAUGGGGGUCUUGGAGAGAAAGAUUGAAAUUGGGAUAGAAAGUGAGUAAAACACUUCCUGCAUGAAGGGUUGUGAGGACAGUACCGAUAACAGCAUCUUGGUACUGUUUAAACCGGGUAUCAAGCAUAGCAAGUCGAGCGGUAACCGGUAAUCCUUUUCUCCCAUGAAGGGUAAGGAUUAAUCUGAUGCCGCCAAGAUGGAGAUGAGUAUAACCUUCUCGUUUCCAGUUGGAGAGCAACUCGGAGGGAAUCUCCAGAGUGACAUAUUGCUCAGCAGAGGUGGCUUGAAGAGCACACUGAUCCAGGCGGGAAGACUGGAUGUAUUCUUUAGGGUGAGGGCGUCUGGUAGAGAUAAGGGUGCGGAUACUGCGGGUAAAGGAGCUGGGUCGUUUAUACAACUGAUAAGGGCUGAGGAGAGGGUAAGAAGAUUCACUGAUUUGGGCGGAUUCAGGGAUGUAGGAGUAUUCUACAAGAUUUUCAAUUUUAUUAGUAGUAUGAGAAGUGCAAGAUUUCGGUAAAGAAAGAGUGGAAGAAAGAGUAACAGGAGGGGAAGAGGAAGUGGAUGCCAUGAAGGAGAAGUUCUCUCUGCGCCUGAAGUUCUAGAGAUCAAAAGAGAAAAAGCCUUAAAUUAUACCAUUUUGGGCAAGAAAUCAUUCCCACUGGAAUCCGAGUCAAGUCCAUGUUCAAACCAUUCACAAACAUUCUGAAACUCUACAAUUUGUCUGAAACUCCCCAGUCUUACCAGGAUAUUUCAACCAAACUUUUGAGUUUCUGUCCAGAGUCCCAUUCUGAGUUCACCCAUCCAAAUCCAUUGUGGAAAAAUAAGUCUUUCUUCAUUAAGUUACCCUUCAAACUCAAGGGUUCCUGUGUUCACUUAUAAGUGCUGAGGCAGUCCUCACCUUACGAGAGCUCUUUUGAGGCUGAGUUAGGCCCGUGGCCCAAGUUGGUAUCAGAGCCUUGUUCGGGGGCCCAAAGGGAGAGUAUGAAGGAGUCAGAAAUCCCACAUCGCCCAAGGCUGGGUUCCUGUGUUCACUUAUAAGUGCUGAGGCAGUCCUCACCUUACGAGAGCUCUUUUGAGGCUGAGUUAGGCCCGUGGCCCAAGUUGGUAUCAGAGCCUUGUUCGGGGGCCCAAAGGGAGAGUAUGAAGGAGUCAGAAAUCCCACAUCGCCCAAGGCUGGGUUCCUGUGUUCACUUAUAAGUGCUGAGGCAGUCCUCACCUUACGAGAGCUCUUUUGAGGCUGAGUUAGGCCCGUGGCCCAAGUUGGUAUCAGAGCCAGGUUCUGGAGCGGGUAGAUCUAAGGCAUGAUUUUGAAGCCUGUAGACCAGUUGGUGAUGUAAAGUGGCAAUUUUUGCAGAAGAAAUUUGUUCAGCACCUUGAAUCUGAACUUGGACUUUCAAGGUUGUGGGCAAAUUGGGGUCUUGGAGAGAAAGAUUGAAAUUGGGAUAGAAAGUGAGUAAAACACUUCCUGCAUGAAGGGUUGUGAGGACAGUACCGAUAACAGCAUCUUGGUACUGUUUAAACCGGGUAUCAAGCAUAGCAAGUCGAGCGGUAACCGGUAAUCUCCCAUGAAGGGUAAGGAUUAAUCUGAUGCCGCCAAGAUGGAGAUGAGUAUAACCUUCUCGUUUCCAGUUGGAGAGCAACUCGGAGGGAAUCUCCAGAGUGACAUAUUGCUCAGCAGAGGUGGCUUGAAGAGCACACUGAUCCAGGCGGGAAGACUGGAUGUAUUCUUUAGGGUGAGGGCGUCUGGUAGAGAUAAGGGUGCGGAUACUGCGGGUAAAGGAGCUAGGUCGUUUAUACAACUGAUAAGGGCUGAGGAGAGGGUAAGAAGAUUCACUGAUUUGGGCGGAUUCAGGGAUGUAGGAGUAUUCUACAAGAUUUUCAAUUUUAUUAGUAGUAUGAGAAGUGCAAGAUUUCGGUAAAGAAAGAGUGGAAGAAAGAGUAACAGGAGGUGAAGAGGAAGUGGAUGCCAUGAAGGAGAAGUUCUCUCUGCGCCUGAAGUUCUAGAGAUCAAAAUAGAAAAAGCCUUAAAUUAUACCAUUUUGGGCAAGAAAUCGUGAAUUUAGAAAACAUGAAAUUUUCAAGGAUGGGUAUGGCUCUGUUUUUCAGAUUCAAUUUGAGCAAGUUCAGCUUUUAAUCGCCUGAUUUCCCUUUCUUUUUGGUCAAAUUCGGGACCAUUGUAUCUGUGGGCUAGCAUGGCUCGUAACUCUGAAUCGAGUUGGCCAAUUCUGGACUGGAGAUUUUGGUGGAUCUGCUGCAUCUGUGCAGAGAUGGAGUCAACCUUUGUCUCAAGCUGUUCAGUUCGUAAACUGAUUUUCUCAACUUUGGAAUUGAUAUUGACCAAAGUAUCAUUCUGUGCUCUAGCGUUUUGGGUUUGCCAGUUGAGGACUGAUUCAAAAGGUUUGGGAGGUUCUAGGUGGCCAGAUGAGGUAAUUGGUGAAGGGACAAAGGGUUUGGACACAACAUUUCGUUGAGAAUCUGUGUGGGUGUCUAAAGAAGGAAAAGAGGAAGAAUAGUCAGAUGAAGUAGAUGAGAACAUCAUACAAGCCAGUGGUGGUGUGGGAUUUGAGAUUGGUGAUGGAAUCUCAGAUUUGCAAUGCUUUGCAAUCCAUGUGAGUUCUUUUCGGUAGAUGGGUAAUGGAGCCGGUGGAGGUGGAGGAUCUGAUGGUGGUUUAGGGUCAUAGUGGUGACAUGGGACAGGAGGGUUUUUCUUUUUGGGUUUCUUUUUCCUUGUGGGUGCAUAAUCAUCGUCUUCUUCCCAAUCAUCCCAGCAGGGACAAUUUGGGUCACACAUGCCGGAACCAGGGGCAUCCCAUAGGAAAUGGCCAUUGUGUUUGGCUGGAUAAACAGGGUAGCCUUGAGAAUUAAACCCUGUAAUGGGCAGAUCUUCCUGCGCUGUCUGAACAGCUGUGAUCAUUGAAGAAUAGGUAAAGGAGAGCCUAGGAGGCUCUUGUGGAGCACUGGGAGGUGGUUUAAAAGUCAUUCUGACUGUUCCAUCAUGUCGUCUUUCAAACAUGCCUUCAGAGGUCUGAAUUGGAGCUGUAUUGUUAUGGAACUGUUCAUAGUUGGAGAUCCAUUCAAGAGGCAUAAGCUUGAUGAGCUCAUGACGGGGAAUUUGUCGGGGAAUCUGGAUGAUUGUCGGGAUCUGGUCAGAUUCUGCUAACACCAUGAGGGUGUCAGAGUGGUGUUCUGGAGUUUGAUGGAUGGGAUAGGAACUGUAGUAUCAAGGGAGAGUAACUGUUGGUGGAAAAUCACUUGAGACUGGUCACUAUCGGAGUCAGAGGAAUUUUGUAGUGCGAACACUGUUUCAUCGUUGGGUUCAUCUUGUUCAGAGAAAUAGAAUUCCAAUUCAUCUUUGGCAGGAGAGUAGUCUGUGGUUGCUUGAAGAUGUUCAACCAACCGGAUGGCCUUUUCUCUUUUGUUGGGACAAUCUUUGGCAUAGUGGCCUUUUCUCUUGCAGAUGAAACAUCUGCUUGAUUGCUUUCGUUUGAAUUCUCUGGAGGAGGAAGAUUUCUUUCUGAAGAACUGGUAGGGCUUUCGGGAUCUGCGAGGUUUGGAUGAAAAUUCUGGAGUUUUGAAUUUUCGAAAAUGCCGUUUUUUCUUUGAACUGCAAUCGCAAUCCUUUUUCUUGUGGCAUUUGAUCUGUAAAUAAGGCUUUUUGCAAGCACUGCGGAAAGGUUCUUUGUCUUUCAACAGUUCUUUGAAAAACUGUUUUUGCUCGCAAAGUUUGUCAAGACAGGUUUUGGCAAGCUGGAAGAUUUUGCCAAGGGAGAUGUUGUCUAGGGAAAGAUUGGAUGCUGUAAGUUGUCUCUGGAUGUCAGGUUGGAGUUCUUCGGGGAGGGAAGCCAGAAAGACAUGCUUUAAUGUCGGCUCAUUGAAUCCAUUAAGCUUAUAGAACAGCAGGGACAUUCGCUUAUAAUGGAAGUCAAGAUCCUUAGCAUUGAGGGAGCAGCAUUUCAUGUUGAGGUAGUCUCGUCUGGCAGCUUCAAAGACUGCAGAAGGGUCGCCAAGGAAUUGAUCAUGAAGUACAGCAAGAGCACUUGAAACUUCUGGAAGGUCAACAAACUGUAACUGGCGAUAUUGUCCUAACGAAUCAAACCAAUCUCUUAGAGCACCCGUAAAACGAGUAGCAAAUUCUCUAAGGACGGAUUGAGUUGUUGCUCCUGUUCUUAGCAUCUGCAGGUCAAUCCAGGCAGACAUUUCAUUGAGUCGGUCACGCCAUUUAUGAGAUGGAAGAUCAUCAAAUGUGAACCAUGGACCAUUUGACGAUUUUUGACUGGGUGGAUUGGGCUGGGCUGGAGAAGGUUGGUUUGUGGCAGAAGAUUCAGGCAUUUCGUCUUCAACUUCGGAGGGAAUAUCAACAUAUGGUUCUGUAUGAGAGGUUUGGCCUUGAUCAGGUUGAGCCAUCAGGAUUUUGGUAAUAUCAGCAUAGGACUUUUCAGAGUCACUGGUGGAUGCUGAAGAUUCUGAGUCGGUUUCGGUAUGGCUAUCUGAAACAGCUAGAUUUGAAUCAGAAGUUUGAUCUUCAGUAGAUGAAUGGAUGACUGCGUGAGCAGUAAAUUGGUUCAUGGGUUCUUUAUCUUUUGAUUGGGCAGGGACUGAUAAAGGAGCUGGUGGUGAUGUCGGUGUAAAAGUAGGAGAUGGUUGGCCAGGGAUGGUCAGAGAGGAAGGAUGAAGAGGGGGAGGUCGAGGCUGCGGUCUAGGUUUGGGUUUAGGUUUAGGUGGCGGUGGCAAAGGAUUGUCUCUGAAAAGAGUAUGAGUCAUGCCAAAUAACUUGGAAGGGUCAUAUUGUUUAAUAGGAGAGAGCAUAGAGGCAAAAGGAUGUCUCCCCUUGCUUGUAAGAUAUAGAAGUUUGAAAGAAAUAAAACUCGUGUUUUUCUUACAACAUGAAUCCCUAAAACUCUUCUCUCUCUGCAAAUGAAGUCCUAAGAAAGAAAAAGAAUAAAGAAUUAAAUUUGUUCAUUUUGAAAACCUAAGGAAGUAUGCUCUGCACUUGCCUUUUCUAAGGAUCCUGUGCAUCAGAAAACUUUUGAUCAUUUCUUAUCUGGUUUGGUACCCUGUUUUAGACUAAAGGAAAGUCUGUUUUGGGUUGUAUAACCUGAGAAAAAUGUUUUAAAGGUUUUUGAUUACAGAGGUAUAUCGGCUGGAAACCCGAGCUUGCGGACUACUGGUCCAAAGAACAGUUUUAACUGUUGUAGUUCUGGUAUAACAACGCCACGUACUACUUGGGCCACGGGCCUAACUCAGCCUCAAAAGAGCUCUCGUAAGGUGAGGACUGCCUCAGCACUUAUAAGUGAACACAGGAACCCAGCCUUGGGCGAUGUGGGAUUUCUGACUCCUUCAUACUCUCCCUUUGGGCCCCCGAACAAGGCUCUGAUACCAACUUGGGCCACGGGCCUAACUCAGCCUCAAAAGAGCUCUCGUAAGGUGAGGACUGCCUCAGCACUUAUAAGUGAACACAGAACCUCAUCCUUGAUAUGCUCUCCAGACUCUCUAAACCACAAGACCCUCUCACCCUGUUUUCCACCACCUACCAUUUUCCGAUUAUCUCCAUGGCUACCUCACUACCCCCAGAAGCUCUCACCAAGAAAACUUUUCCCUUCAACAAAACCUUCUCUUCUGUUUUUGAUAUCCAAGAAUUUGCAAGAAAAGCUCUCUUUCGCUUUUUCAUGAAAGCCUACCUUGUCACCGACCCUUUUCCUUUUUCCACUUUCCACCCCGAAAAUCUGUUCCUUACCGGUUUAACCCUUGAUCCAGCCAGGGACACCACUGAAGACGUGUUAUGGUACAUCUGGUGCCUAACAGUCCUUUACGCAACCAAGUUAGUCCUCCCCAUUUCUCCCACUCUGGACCACCUCCUUAAUCCAGAUAACGCCACCUCCCUUACCUGGACCCUACUUGAAUGGUUCUCCCCCAUCCCAUGGUGGAGAAAGAAACUGCAACAACUGUCCGAAAUUUACAACCUUGACCGUAUGCCUGCCCCUGAAGCACAAAUGUUCACAUCAGUUUUUAUUAUUCACAGGCCAUACUUCCAACAUCCAGACACCCAUCUCUUUUGGACUCAAGAUCAGGUAUAUGAAUGGUUCACUGCACCACAUAUACCUGUGAUUGAAAAUGACAUACAAGACGUCCUGCACAAUUACCUUUGCCAAUUAAACCACCAACCUCCGCCACUUAAAGAUAUCUCUCACACCUCCUUAGGUCCACAACAUGACCUUCUCAUGAUACCCACUCCAUCUGCCAUAUCUAAACCUAAGUCCACUGGCAUCAUCAUCAAAGAAGAACGACCAGACUACACUGACUUCCUUUAUCAAGACUCACAAGAUCCAUGGGAAGAUUUUCUUCCUCUGAGCCAACACCUCCACCAGUUUCCCCAACCAACAAUGGAUGAACCUGGCCCCUCCGUACCAGGACCCUCAACCCAAUCUUCCAAACGACCAGCUCAACCAUCCAAAGUUGACAAAGCCACCCAAACUUCCCCUAAGUAUACUCCGCAGUGUACUCCCAGAGACUAUAAUUGCCCUUAUCCACCAUGCCGUGGUCCCUCCUGAAGCAUCCAAAGCUCUCCAAAACUUUCUUCCAAAAGCAUCCUCACUCUGGUGAUACGGACCCCGAUGAGACCGAAAGCUCAUCCGAAGACGAGUACAUGAAUCUCCGCUCUCCAUAAAGUUGUUUGUCUUGUUGCUUUCAAUAAAGUAGUUUGUCUUGUUGUCAUAAUGAUGUUUCGCUUUAUGUUUGCAUAAUUAUUAAAGUUUGUUUUUACUUUAAUACUUUUGUCCAAGUCAUGCUUUAAUUAUUAAAGCACUUUUGUCUUUUGUAAUAAUUAAAGUUGUGCAAUUAUGUAAAAGAUAGGGGUCCUGUCCUAUCUUCUCAAGAAUCCUCCCCUAUAUAAAGGAUUCCCCCCUUGCUUGUAAGAUAUAGAAGUUUGAAAGAAAUAAAACUCGUGUUUUUCUUACAACAUGAAUCCCUAAAACUCUUCUCUCUCUGCAAAUGAAGUCCUAAGAAAGAAAAAGAAUAAAGAAUUAAAUUUGUUCAUUUUGAAAACCUAAGGAAGUAUGCUCUGCACUUGCCUUUUCUAAGGAUCCUGUGCAUCAGAAAACUUUUGAUCAUUUCUUAUCUGGUUUGGUACCCUGUUUUAGACUAAAGGAAAGUCUGUUUUGGGUUGUAUAACCUGAGAAAAAUGUUUUAAAGGUUUUGGCUCUCCUUUACCUAUUCUUCAAUGAUCACAGCUGUUCAGACAGCGCAGGAAGAUCUGCCCAUUACAGGGUUUAAUUCUCACAACGCCACGUACUUCACCAUAACUGGUAUCAGAGCUGUCCUAUGGGAUGCCCCUGGUUCCGGCAUGUGUGACCCAAAUUGUCCCUGCUGGGAUGAUUGGGAAGAAGACGAUGAUUAUGCACCCACAAGGAAAAAGAAACCCAAAAAGAAAAACCCUCCUGUCCCAUGUCACCACUAUGACCCUAAACCACCAUCAGAUCCUCCACCUCCACCGGCUCCAUUACCCAUCUACCGAAAAGAACUCACAUGGAUUGCAAAGCAUUGCAAAUCUGAGAUUCCAUCACCAAUCUCAAAUCCCACACCACCACUGGCUUGUAUGAUGUUCUCAUCUACUUCAUCCGACUAUUCUUCCUCUUUUCCUUCUUUAGACACCCACACAGAUUCUCAACGAAAUGUUGUGUCCAAACCCUUUGUCCCUUCACCAAUUACCUCAUCUGGCCACCUAGAACCUCCCAAACCUUUUGAAUCAGUCCUCAACUGGCAAACCCAAAACGCUAGAGCACAGAAUGAUACUUUGGUCAAUAUCAAUUCCAAAGUUGAGAAAAUCAGUUUACGAACUGAACAGCUUGAGACAAAGGUUGACUCCAUCUCUGCACAGAUGCAGCAGAUCCACCAAAAUCUCCAGUCCAGAAUUGGCCAACUCGAUUCAGAGUUACGAGCCAUGCUAGCCCACAGAUACAAUGGUCCCGAAUUUGACCAAAAAGAAAGGGAAAUCAGGCGAUUAAAAGCUGAGGCGAUUAAAAGCUGAACUUGCUCAAAUUGAAUCUGAAAAACAGAGACCUACCCUUUUCACCAGUUCACCUCCUAUUCCUACCAUCCUUUUGCCUCUAUGCUCUCUCCUAUUAAACAAUAUGACCCUUCCAAGUUAUUUGGCAUGACUCAUACUCUUUUCAGAGACAAUCCUUUGCCACCGCCACCUAAACCUAAACCCAAACCUAGACCGCAGCCUCGACCUCCCCCUCUUCAUCCUUCCUCUCUGACCAUCCCUGGCCAACCAUCUCCUACUUUUACACCGACAUCACCACCAGCUCCUUUAUCAGUCCCUGCCCAAUCAAAAGAUAAAGAACCCAUGAACCAAUUUACUGCUCACGCAGUCAUCCAUUCAUCUACUGAAGAUCAAACUUCUGAUUCAAAUCUAGCUGUUUCAGAUAGCCAUACCGAAACCGACUCAGAAUCUUCAGCAUCCACCAGUGACUCUGAAAAGUCCUAUGCUGAUAUUACCAAAAUCCUGAUGGCUCAACCUGAUCAAGGCCAAACCUCUCAUACAGAACCAUAUGUUGAUAUUCCCUCCGAAGUUGAAGACGAAAUGCCUGAAUCUUCUGCCACAAACCAACCUUCUCCAGCCCAGCCCAAUCCACCCAGUCAAAAAUCGUCAAAUGGUCCAUGGUUCACAUUUGAUGAUCUUCCAUCUCAUAAAUGGCGUGACCGACUCAAUGAAAUGUCUGCCUGGAUUGACCUGCAGAUGCUAAGAACAGGAGCAACAACUCAAUCAGUCCUUAGAGAAUUUGCUACUCGUUUUACGGGUGCUCUAAGAGAUUGGUUUGAUUCGUUAGGACAAUAUCGCCAGUUACAGUUUGUUGACCUUCCAGAAGUUUCAAGUGCUCUUGCUGUACUUCAUGAUCAAUUCCUUGGCGACCCUUCUGCAGUCUUUGAAGCUGCCAGACGAGACUACCUCAACAUGAAAUGCUGCUCCCUCAAUGCUAAGGAUCUUGACUUCCAUUAUAAGCGAAUGUCCCUGCUGUUCUAUAAGCUUAAUGGAUUCAAUGAGCCGACAUUAAAGCAUGUCUUUCUGGCUUCCCUCCCCGAAGAACUCCAACCUGACAUCCAGAGACAACUUACAGCAUCCAAUCUUUCCCUAGACAACAUCUCCCUUGGCAAAAUCUUCCAGCUUGCCAAAACCUGUCUUGACAAACUUUGCGAGCAAAAACAGUUUUUCAAAGAACUGUUGAAAGACAAAGAACCUUUCCGCAGUGCUUGCAAAAAGCCUUAUUUACAGAUCAAAUGCCACAAGAAAAAGGAUUGCGAUUGCAGUUCAAAGAAAAAACGGCAUUUUCGAAAAUUCAAAACUCCAGAAUUUUCAUCCAAACCUCGCAGAUCCCGAAAGCCCUACCAGUUCUUCAGAAAGAAAUCUUCCUCCUCCAGAGAAUUCAAACGAAAGCAAUCAAGCAGAUGUUUCAUCUGCAAGAGAAAAGGCCACUAUGCCAAAGAUUGUCCCAACAAAAGAGAAAAGGCCAUCCGGUUGGUUGAACAUCUUCAAGCAACCACAGACUACUCUCCUGCCAAAGAUGAAUUGGAAUUCUAUUUCUCUGAACAAGAUGAACCCAACGAUGAAACAGUGUUCGCACUACAAAAUUCCUCUGACUCCGAUAGUGACCAGUCUCAAGUGAUUUUCCACCAACAGUUACUCUCCCUUGAUACUACAGUUCCUAUCCCAUCCAUCAAACUCCAGAUCUUGCCCUCAAAAUUCCAAAGGCCCAUUCCAGCAAUUGGUCUUAUAGAUACUGGUGCCCAACGAAGCAUGUUGAACCCCCAUAUUCUUCCACCAGAAUAUUGGACCCAGUCUGAAGAACAUUUCAAAGCUGUCAAUGGCAAACUCUUCACCACCUCUUUGAUUACCAAAAAAUCCAUUGGUAUUCAAAUUUUCCCAAACUGUGUCAUUUGGACCAAGGUUAUUGGUUCCACUCUUCCUAAUAAGGAUAUCUUGUUAGGAUUUGACAUCCUUCACCAAAUCAAACACCUCCAAAUCAUUCCCACUGGAAUCCGAGUCAAGUCCAUGUUCAAACCAUUCACAAACAUUCUGAAACUCUACAAUUUGUCUGAAACUCCCCAGUCUUACCAGGAUAUUUCAACCAAACUUUUGAGUUUCUGUCCAGAGUCCCAUUCUGAGUUCACCCAUCCAAAUCCAUUGUGGAAAAAUAAGUCUUUCUUCAUUAAGUUACCCUUCAAACUCAAUGAAGACAUUAACCCAACUAAAGCUACCCAUCCAGGAAUGAGUCCUUCUGACUUACUCCUAGCCCAACAAGAAUGUUCACAAUUGUUAGCCCAAGGUUUAAUUGAGCCCACAAGUUCCCAAUGGGCUUGCCAAGCCUUUUAUGUUGAAAAACAUUCUGAAAUUGUCCGAGGAAAGAAACGCCUAGUCAUUGAUUAUCAGCCCCUAAACAUGUUUUUACAAGAUGACAAGUUUCCAUUACCCCGCAGACAAAGCAUGUUUACUUUUCUUAAAAAUGCCCAGAUCUUUUCCAAAUUUGAUUUAAAAUCUGGUUUUUGGCAACUCGGCAUUGAACCCUCCGAACGUUACAAAACCGCUUUUUGUAUUCCCAAUGCCCAUUUCCAAUGGACCGUCCUACCCUUUGGCCUCAAAACUGCCCCCUCCAUUUUCCAAAAAUCCAUGGUCCAAAUCUUCCAGCCCAUUUUGCAUCAUGCAUUGAUUUACAUUGACGAUAUUUUGCUUUUCUCAGGAUCGCAUGAAGAACAUCGCAACCUAUUGUCCCAAUUCUAUGAUAUUAUCCAAAGUCAUGGAAUCAUGUUAUCGGCCAAGAAAAGCACCAUUGCUACAGAUAAUAUUGAAUUCCUUGGUAUGAUCAUUAAAGAUGGACACUACCAGCCAGGAAAGCACAUUGCCCAAGAAUUGCUUCACUUUCCAGAUCAGCAACUUUCCAAAAGGCAAAUCCAACAGUUUCUCGGCAUUAUCAAUUACAUCCGUGAUUUCCUCCCACAUGUGGACCAUCACACUCAUCAUCUCUCGGCUUUAUUGAAAAAGCAGCCCCCAGAGUGGAAUGCUGACCACACACGUGCUGUCACUACUCUCAAGCAGAUUGCGCAAAAUCCGCCUCCUUUAAAGUUGAUUACUGAUGGCAAGCGCAUAUUACAGACAGACGCAAGUGAUGAAUCAUGGGGUGCCAUCCUCCUCGAAGAACUCAAUGACAAGGAACACUUUAUCGCUUACGCUAGUGGACAUUUUUCUGAAACACAGAAGCACUACCAUAGCGUGUUUAAAGAAAUCUUAGCGGUAAAGAAUGGCAUCAAAAAGUUUGAGUAUCAUCUGAUUGGACACCAUUUUCUCAUCCGAAUGGACAGCUCAGCCUUCCCCAAUAUCUUUCAUUUCAAAGGUAAAACUGUUCCCGAAAAAAUGUUACUCAGAUUAAAAGAUUGGUUUUCCAAAUAUGACUUUUCAGUCAAGCAUAUAAAGGGAUCCCAGAACCUCAUCCCUGAUAUGCUCUCCAGACUCUCUAAACCACAAGACCCUCUCACCCUGUUUUCCACCACCUACCAUUUUUCGAUUAUCUCCAUGGCUACCUCACUACCCCCAGAAGCUCUCACCAAGAAAACUUUUCCCUUCAACAAAACCUUCUCUUCUGUUUUUGAUAUCCAAGAAUUUGCAAGAAAAGCUCUCUUUCGCUUUUUCAUGAAAGCUUACCUUGUCACCGACCCUUUUCCUUUUUCCACUUUCCACCCAGAAAAUCUGUUCCUUACAGGUUUAACCCUUGAUCCGACCAGAGACACCACUGAAGACGUGUUAUGGUACAUCUGGUGCCUAACAGUCCUUUACGCAACCAAGUUAGUCCUCCCCAUUUCUCCCACUCUGGACCACCUCCUUAAUCCAGAUAACGCCACCUCCCUUACCUGGACCCUACUUGAAUGGUUCUCCCCCAUCCCAUGGUGGAGAAAGAAACUGCAACAACUGUCCGAAAUUUACAACCUUGACCGUAUGCCUGCCCCUGAAGCACAAAUGUUCACAUCAGUUUU